AUAGUUCAUGUUACACUAUAGGUAAAAAACUUAACUGGUUGAAAUGUUGAAUAGCUUUUAUGUAGACUUCCGCUAAAACAAUUUACUGGUUGAAUAGCUUCACUCGUAGACAUUUAAGUUGAGCCCAUGAAGUGAGCCAACCCAAUGGGCUUAUUAAUUUUUCCAUCUUCUACGGUGCAAGCUGAUGUUUUUAGUGUUGCGUUGCCCAACAUGGGCUUCUUUCCUCAUUCUGAAAAUUUUCUAUUAUGGCUUCAUUCUUGGAAUCGACAAAAUUAUGAUUGUGUUUGUGUUCUUGUUUUUUAAGCAUAACAUUUGUUGGGCAUAGAUUUUUUUCCCCCUCCCCAAAGCAUAUCGUAACUAAAAAUUAAAAAUUUUCCCUGGCGUUCAAAUCAAAGGCAUCUCAUAUCAACUUUAGAGACUCUUUUAUCUUUGGAUCAAUUGAUGACACCCACAUUCAACACUGAUAAUUGCUAAUAUUAGUUGGAUACAGUAUACAUAGAGUUUUCAUGAAAUCAUUGGUUCCAAUCAAUGCUUAUAUUUCAAGAAUGUGAAAUUAUUCUUUACUAUUUUGGGUGAAUUGGUUUUUUAUUAUUAGAAUCCGGCUAUGUUGAAAUCGAUUUAAGGUAAAACAAACAUUCAUAACCAUACGAUUAAAGUUAUAACAUAUUUUUUUAUUAUUUAUCACAUUGCGUGUGUGGUUGUGAUUUGUGCUCUAUCUUGAAGCAACUCCAAAGUAACCAUUGCCUUAUUAUGAUUAUUGGAGUCUGGUUAUGUUGAAAUUAUUUUACGGUAGAACAAUAUGGAUAACCGUACGAUCAUAAAAAUAAAUAUUAAAUUUGUACUUACUGCUGCGAUCCACAAUCAUCAUUUAUACUCUACCAUGCAGCAGCUCUAACUUAACCACUACCUUAUUCCUUAAUUUUAUUAUUAUUUUCACAAGAGAUUUUGAUGAGUCAAGAGUUUCACUUCGCCGACAAUCAACUCUCGAGCAAAUUAGUGCUAGCAUGUGAUAGCUGUAGUACCAUCAGGCGCUGAGUGCACAGGAGAAGGACAGCUAGCAAAUUUGACCAAUCCGAUUGAACUUCUUCCAAAAGGUGAUAGUCAUACGUGUCAACUCAAAAGCAAAAAUUUUUCCCCUAUCUUAUGCUGUUGCUGAUGAUUCAAGAAGAACAGGAAGAACCCAAAGAACUGAGCAGUGCCGAAAUACAGUCCCCACUCAUCAGUCAGUCAAAAGAAUAUUAACAAAAAGCUUCUGUCUUUCACAGCCAGCGAGUACGUGUCAUGUUUCUACAGGUUCCAUUCAGUCGUCCCUAAAGAGAGAAGAACCAUUUUACGUGUGAUUAAAUUAUGAAUGCCUAAUGCGUGCUUUAAACCUGGCCUUCACAGCAAUAGUACGUAUCUCAAUAUUUGUGAAAAAAGAUGAGGAUUUGUCUUUUUUAAAUUUUUAAUUAAUAAAGUACCUGGUUAAUAGACAAUUGUAGUUGGCCGGGAAUGAUUCCCCUGCCUUUAAGUGGGCGGCUUCGUUUGUUUUCUUUUUAUUUUUGUUUUUUGAAUUAUUAGGUUACUUAUCCGGCCAAGAUACACGAAAAUUCAAUGCCAUUUUGAUGGAUUAAUUUAUCUGAAAGUGGGUGAGAAUUUACUUUAAUUUUGUUUUUUCCAAUCAUGAAUAGAGAAUUGGAGAUGGAAUGGCAAAGAUAUCUAAUUUUGUGACGUCAAUUAUUUUAAUUUGGCCUCUAGUCACGUCAAAAUUUAGAAAAAUGCAUCGAAUUAGAUGACAAUGCAUUUAUUUCUUUAUCUUCAACUAUUGGAGGUUCUUAAUUAUCUUUUGAUCAUGGAAUUGCUAAAAAAUUAGGGUCCAACUACAGUGCAACUGUAGUACCAUACCACAGUUGCACCUAGCCAUUAGAUCCAGUUAUCUAGCCAUUAGAUCUCUCACCAUAACUGAAUCCAAUGACUAAGUACAACUGCACCAUAGUUAAGUCCAAAAAUUAAUAUCUAUGUUUAGAUGUUUAGAUCCAAUUUAAUAUUGCAUUGCUGUAACUUCUAAGUUAAUAUUUUAAUUAUUGUGGAAAAAAUUAC
rnacentral:lncRNA from 1 species